ACUGACAUCUGUUAGUGAAAAGCAGCGCGCUCAGGCUUCUUGAUGUGAACACACCCCUUGUCUGUAAUGCGUCGGUUGGCUAUACUUCCUGGUAAAUUAACUAGUUUCUUCUAAAGAACGUUGACUUACAACUUCGUUUUCAGAUAAAGACGUAUGGUAUAAUAUCACGCAAUUUCCUCAAACUCGUUAAAAACAAAGAAAACAGGGUAAUUCGUCUGAAAAUGGGAAGCACCGUGAUGGAGUCCAACAAGAAGGAUAUGAAAACCUCGAAGAAAAAGAGAACACUACACCUAAAUAUGCCAGACGUAAGUGCUUUCGCCUUCCCCAUAAUGGACGGCAAGUCUGGAGGCUCGGGCAAGGAUGGCUAUCCAAAUGGAGAGGUCUGCAGCCACUCUGUCAGCCCAACUAAAGGACUCUUUGUGAGGGGUGGUCCUGCCGGUGUCAGCCAACCCUCCAGUCCCAUGGCUGCCCACUCCCAGUGCCGGAUCAGCCCUGGCUCAUCCAGAACCAUUUCCCCCUACCUCUCCACCCACCAGGUCCCCUCACCACCCAAAUCCCCCCUUUGCCUCAGCUUCAGUGGUAUAUUCCGCUCUUCGCCCAACUCAUCAUCCAACUCUAGCAUCAAGCUCUUUUCUAGGACCAGGAAAGUCUCCGGCCUCUCGUCUUCCCCCACCCCACCCAGCACCCCCUGCCUGCACAUGCUGUUCCCCCAGGAGGUUCACCAGAGUGCCCCAGAGCGCCUGGAACGCUCCCUCUCAUCACCCCCACCAGACACCGGACAGCGCCUUAGCCUGCCAGCCUCUGCCAAGCCCCCCAUGUCCUCCUCCUCUCCGAUACCCUACGCUUUCCCACUGGCCCAAGCUACCUCACAGCCAAAUUUCUACGGUUUAUUCGAAGGCAUGCUGGAGAAACUUGAUCUAAACGAUGAUGGUGUUGCUGCUGAACCAGACAGAGAUAUUUACAUGCGCUUUAUGAAGUCCCACUGCUGCUAUGACAUCGUUCCCACCAGCUCCAAGCUGGUUGUGUUCGACACUGGCCUACAGGUGAAGAAGGCGUUCUUUGCCUUAGUGGCCAAUGGGGUGCGUGCUGCCCCACUAUGGGAUUCAGAGAAGCAGUGUUUUGUGGGAAUGUUGACAAUCACAGACUUCAUCAUCAUACUACACAGAUACUACAAGUCACCGUUGGUGCAAAUAUAUGAGUUGGAAGAUCAUAAGCUUGAGACAUGGAGAGAAGUAUAUUUGCAAGAGACAUUCAAGCCUUUAGUGAACAUAUCACCCGAAUCAAGCAUAUUUGAUGCAGUGUAUUCCCUCAUUAAAAACAAGAUCCACCGGCUGCCUGUCAUCGACCCUGUGACGGGGAACCCACUUUACAUCCUCACACACAAGAGGAUCCUCAAGUUCCUACAGCUCUUUGUGCGUGAGAUGCCCAAGCCGGCUUUUAUGAAGCAGACUCUCGGAGAGCUGGGCAUCGGCACCUACAAGAACAUAGCCUUCAUCCACCCUGACACACCCAUCAUCAAGGCCCUGCAGAUCUUCGUAGAGAGGAGGGUGUCUGCCCUGCCUGUUGUGGACGUAUCUGGGAAAGUGGUGGAUAUUUACUCCAAAUUUGAUGUCAUAAACCUGGCAGCAGAGAAGACUUAUAAUAACCUGGACAUCACAGUGACCCAGGCUCUGAGGCAUCGCUGCCAGUACUUUGAGGGGGUCAUGCAAUGCCACAAGCUGGAUACACUGGAGACCAUUGUGGACAAGAUUGUCAAAGCAGAGGUCCACCGGCUGGUAGUGGUUGAUGAUCGCUCGGCCAUCGAGGGCAUCAUCUCCCUGUCUGACAUUCUGCAGGCCCUGGUGCUCAGCCCAGCAGGAAAUGCCUUUGCUGGUGCAGUCAUAAUGCAUUUAGAAAUUGCAUUUUGAAUUGGCUGGUGCAUCAGUUCCCAGAUUUGAAAACUGCAGUGAGCAGACUCAUCAACUCCGAUAUGCCUGCAGAGAGGAGGGCCUCCUGGAGUGAGACGGGGGGCUACUGCUGCUGGAAUCACAGAGGCUGUCCUACAAUAUAUAACUUGUAUUUUACAGGUAGCUGCCAAGAUAAAGGAAACACUUGAGUAAAUUAGGGAUACAAAGUCUAUUGAAAGCAGGUGCUUCUAAACAGGUGUGAUUCCUGAGUUAAUUAAGCAGUUGACAUCCCAUCAUGCUUUGGGUCAUGUAUAAAAAUGCACAGUUGCCCAUUAUUUUCUUACCGUGGCUAAAAUAAGAGAUCUCAGUGACUUUGAGAGAGUGGUCUCAAAGGAACAUAGAGGGUUUAAAGUGGGUGUGUGUCUCCAGUGACUAGAUCUCAACCCAAUUGAACACUUAUGGGAGAUUCUGGAGUGGUGCCUGAGACAGUGCUUUCCACAACCAUUAACAAAACACCAAAUGAUGGAAUUUCUCUUGGAAAAAUCCCUUCUAUAUAAUUCCAGACACUUGAAGUGUGCAUUGAAGCUAUUCUGGCAGCUCGUGGUGGCCCAAUGCCCUAUUAAUAUAUUGGUGUUUCCUUUAUUUGGACAGUUACCUUUACGUCCAAAGCCCUUCAUAUUGAUGCACUAGACUUUGAAACCAAAGGGCUGGGCUGGAUUGGACUGCUACUGGGGGGUAAAUGGCUUUAAUACUGGAGGACCAGCAUCUCUCUGUCUGAAUGGAACUGGACUUGAUUCACUGUGGGGCUGAGCCAGUCUGAACUGUGGUUAUGUAUGUAUAUGAGGGCUAUAUACGUUUUGGUGUUUGUCUCAGUAUCAUGCUGCUCUGUCGUGUUAACAGUGCCUAGUCACUGGAUUGUUUCAAACCAUCAAUGAACAAGUAGAUUGACAGAUAUUGCCAAGGCAUCUUACUUGUUGAUACACACAAGCAUGUGUCUAAGUUCCCCACGGGAAAAAAUAACCUGUUUGUAUAGGUGGAGCUGCAAUGUACUGGACCACUAAAAGUGAUGGUUGAGUAAAUAACGUCAGUCUAUAUUCUAUGCUGUCAAACACAGACCAUUUAGACAAUAUAAUUGCAUUCUUCAUUUUAGUAUCAAAUGUGGCCAUAUUAUAGCAUGUUCUAUGAUAAGCCACAUGUUGCUAUAAUGAGUUGUUGUCCACACCCCUUUUAGGGGCUAUAUGCAGUCUCUCUGUCCAAUCCUUAGUCACAGUGCCUUUUGCUUGCCCUGCCCCUGACCAUGGAAGCAAACGCCAUUCUCUAACCAUAAUACAUCAAAACGAAGUGUUCUUGAAGAAUAAGCAAGAUCUUGUCAAAAAUGUGUUCUCAUUUAACCUGAAGGAGAAAUUGCAGGUGUUCAUGCUUUAUCUGGUUAUGAUUGGAGGGGUUUUGUUUGUAUAUGAGUAACAUGCUGUGAAGAGAGACAGAACAGGAAAAAGGCUUUAUUUUUUGGAUAUAUAUAUAUAUAUUUUGUAUUCAUUCUCGAUGACACUUGGGUUGAGAUUUAGAGCCAUUUAUUUUGUCCGCUUUAUGCACUUGAGACAUGGAUCACUUCCAUCUACAACAUCUAUAAAUCAAAAUGGUGGAUUCUGAACUGCUCUUGACCAGACUCCUGUGCUGUGGCCAGAGAACACACCUCUGACAACUCAUCUCUAUUGUUUCACUGUAAAUAAGAAAGUUUUCAGGAAAUGUGCCAGAGAAAGCUUUAUUUUUAUGUAACUUUAAAGAAAUCAUGUUAAAAUAACUGCAGUUUUAAUAUUAUUUUUGUAAAUAUAUUGUGGCAAAAUGAGCCAAUAUAAAUAAAGAUAAUUUCUAUUCAGAACAAGAUGUACAUGUGCAAGCAUGAGAAACGACACUAUAACAGUUGUGAAUGUUCUUUACUUUUCUAUUUUUCUGCAUGCAGAAAAAUAAACGAUGACACUGAAUGUA